GAUGAACGCUGGCGGCGUGCUUAACACAUGCAAGUCGAACGGAAAGGCCAGUGCUUGCACUGGUACUCGAGUGGCGAACGGGUGAGUAACACGUGGGUGAUCUGCCCUGUACUUCGGGAUAAGCUUGGGAAACUGGGUCUAAUACCGGAUAGGACAACUUUUUGGAUAUUGUUGUGGAAAGCUUUUGCGGUAUGGGAUGAGCUCGCGGCCUAUCAGCUUGUUGGUGGGGUAAUGGCCUACCAAGGCGUCGACGGGUAGCCGGCCUGAGAGGGUGUACGGCCACAUUGGGACUGAGAUACGGCCCAGACUCCUACGGGAGGCAGCAGUGGGGAAUAUUGCACAAUGGGCGCAAGCCUGAUGCAGCGACGCCGCGUGGGGGAUGAAGGCCUUCGGGUUGUAAACUCCUUUCGCUAGGGACGAAGCGUUUUUGUGACGGUACCUGGAGAAGAAGCACCGGCUAACUACGUG
rnacentral:rRNA from 1 species